AUGUGUAACCCAUGGGUGGCGUGGUUAGGAGUGCUACCACUCUUUAUCCUAUUAACUCAGGCAGCCCUCAAACCAGCAAUGCCUCCGGUGAUCAAGAGCCAGCCUUUCAACAUUUUCUGGGCAGCCCCAACAAUGUAUUGUAUGCCUUCCUUCAACGUGGAUAUAAAUCUUCAAGUAUUUAACAUUAUAUCAAAUCCUUUAGAGACUCAGAGUGGGUCAAAAAUUGCCAUAUUUUAUCCAAAUGAAUUAGGGUAUUACCCUUACUUAUCUCAAGAUGGAAAAUCCUUUAAUGGAGGAAUACCGCAGAAUGUGAGCCUUUCUGAACACCUUAGGAAAACUGCUGAUGACAUUGGAGAAGGUGUCCCUUGGUGGAGAUCAGAAGAACUUGUUGUUAUUGACUGGGAAAGUUGGAAACCCCAAUGGGAUAGAAAUCAGGGCAGCAGAAUAAUAUAUAAAAACCACUCUUUAGCCUUCACUAGAAACCAUCAUCCUUAUUGGUCAGAAAUGAAAGUGGAAACAGUUGCCCGAGAGGAAUUUGAAAAUGCUGGAAAAAAUUUCAUGAACAUUACUCUCACAUUGGCUUUAGAAAUGAGACCAAAAUGUUUAUGGGGCUUUUAUCUCUAUCCAGACUGCUACAAUUAUGAUUACAGAAUAAAUCCAGAGACGUACACAGGUAAUUGUCCAAAUUGUGGCUGUGGGAAAAAAGCGCAGCACUUUAUCCUUCAAUACAUUUGGAUAAAAUACUGAAGUCAAGCUUAAAUGCUUUGAAAUUUGUUCACUAUCGAGUUAGAGAAGCCAUGAGGGUUGCUGAAAUGGCUAGACAUGACUAUGUUUUGCCAGUUUUUAUUUUUUCCAGACCAUUUUAUUUGCAUAGUACUGAAGCUCUGUCACAGGAGGACUUAGUGCAUGCAAUUGGCGAAAGUGCAGCAUUGGGGGCAGCAGGAGUAAUAUUGUGGGGAGGAUAUGAAUAUUCUGCUUCAAAG